rnacentral:rRNA from 1 species
UCCAGAGGGUGCAAUCGUUAAUCGGAGUUACUGGGCGUAAAGGGCGCGUAGGCGGUUUAAUGAGUGUGAUGUGAAAGCCCUGGGCUUAACCUAGGAAGUGCAUCGCAAACGAUUGAGCUGGAGUAUAAGAGAGGGUGGCGGAAUUUCCGGUGUAGCGGUGAAAUGCGUAGAGAUCGGAAGGAACGUCAAUGGCGAAGGCAGCCACCUGGCUUAAUACUGACGCUGAGGCGCGAAAGCGUGGGGAUAAAACAGG